rnacentral:rRNA from 1 species
AGCGAACGCUGGCGGCAGGCCUAACACAUGCAAGUCGAACGAAGUCUUCGGACUUAGUGGCGGACGGGUGAGUAACACGUGGGAACGUGCCUUUAGGUUCGGAAUAACUCAGGGAAACUUGUGCUAAUACCGAAUGUGCCCUUCGGGGGAAAGAUUUAUCGCCUUUAGAGCGGCCCGCGUCUGAUUAGCUAGUUGGUGAGGUAAAGGCUCACCAAGGCUACGAUCAGUAGCUGGUCUGAGAGGAUGACCAGCCACAUGGGGACUGCGACACGGCCCAAACUCCUACGGGAGGCAGCAGUGGGGAAUCUUGCGCAAUGGGCGAAAGCCGGACGCAGCCAUGCCGCGUGGAUGAUGAAGGUCUUAGGAUUGUAAAAUCCUUUCACCGGUGAAGAUAAUGACUGUAGCCGGAGAAGAAGCCCCGGCUAACUUCGUGCCAGCAGCCGCCGUAACAC